UACGUAGGUGGCAAGCGUUGUCCGGAAUUACUGGGCGUAAAGCGUGCGCAGGCGGUUCGCUAAGACAGAUGUGAAAUCCCCGGGCUUAACCUGGGAACUGCAUUUGUGACUGGCGGGCUAGAGUAUGGCAGAGGGGGGUAGAAUUCCACGUGUAGCAGUGAAAUGCGUAGAGAUGUGGAGGAAUACCGAUGGCGAAGGCAGCCCCCUGGGCCAAUACUGACGCUCAUGCACGAAAGCGUGGGGAGCAAACAGG
rnacentral:rRNA from 1 species